CCCGCGGUAGCUCAGCCUGGUAGAGCUUUCGGCUGUAGAACAAAAUGGCGAAAAGCCAUUUUGGGGCAAAUCCUGCCCGCGGGA
rnacentral:tRNA from 1 species